rnacentral:piRNA from 1 species
UGCCAUGUGUUCAGACCUAGAGAGCUGCAGC